rnacentral:lncRNA from 1 species
GUGUGGUGAGGGGGGAACCGGAGAAGCAGAAGCAGCGUGGAUAGAUGGAUGGAGAAGCAGAAGCCGCUGGUUGAGAAGGGGCGAGGAAGCUCAACGCUGGUUGAGAAGGCUGGUUGAGUCCGUGGCGGGCCAGGGUAUCCUCAUCCUCUUGCAUUUUCUUUGUUCUGUUUAGCUCCUCCUAUUCUCUCAUAUUUCUGAGCUAAGCCUGUCUUUGCUAAUCUCUCAGAUUUUUUUUGUUUUCUGUUUUUUCAUGUUCAGGUCUUGGAGCAUCUAAGACCGGACUCCCUGUACUAUAUGAACCGUGAAUGAGAGAUGUGGAUCAGUCCGGGCAUAUAAAGGUCGUUUGAGUAGAGCGUAUCUUCAUCCUGUAGAAUGGUAUGAUUUCGCAAAUUAUGCAUGUUCAGCUUAGUGCAAAAGCAACGUGACGAUUUUUGGUCAAAAUGACUGGAGCUCCUAUUUAC